CCAGCCAAAGUUCCUCGCAAAGUGGCGAGCGAAGGAUCGCUGCGCGCCGGCGUCUGUGCUGGGGAAGAGCUGGGCUGAGUCGGGCAGAGCCGGGCUGGAGAGGGGAAACAGACGCAAGGGAAGGGCGGUGUUUUUCUCAGGGAUCUGAGCUGGGGUCUGCAUCCUGGUCGUUGCGGUCCGAGUAGCAUCCUCGCCACGCCCUGAGCGCGCUCGCGGUGCACUGGCUGCGCCCUCCCAGGGCUGAGGCUGCGUCCUGCUCCGCUGGUCUGGGACGUCGGGGGCAAAAGUGGAGGAGACGGGAGAGCUCGGGCAGAAAAAGCAGGACGCGCGUCCCAGCAAAUCUAUGGAGUGGAAAUCGUCAUUAUUCUCCACGAGUGAAUGAAGAAACUGAGAUACAGAGAAAUUGGGGAGCUUGUCCAAGUUCCAAAGGCAGUAAGUGGUGAAGUCAAUAUUUGAUCCUCAACCACGCUGGAGGUCACAUUGCUCUCUUCACCAUUCUGCUGUGCUGACUCUGAAGAGAAAUAUACUUUCCCCUCUGAGUAUAUGGACAAAGCCAAUGUGGAAAACUCAGGCAAGAUGACUUGAGUCAGCUACUCAAGGGCCAUUCAGAACCUCAAGUCUCUAGAAUUUGAGGUGGAUCAUCUGAAAGCUAUGGAGUCAAGAGGGGUAGAAUUUGUCUGGUUUCUUGCACAAUCUGAGGCAAGAAACCCUUGUAAUUGCUAAACACCACUGCCCGGGGCCCUGAAAAUGCUCACGACAUUCACUCUAUCCCCUAUGUCAACUUCAUCACCGCUGAUGUAAACCACAAGACUAGGAAACAACUUUUCUAUGAUAUAUACUUUAUGGCCAUUCUUCUUACCUCAUUAUUCUUACUUCGCUUGUAAAAAAUAAAGAACAAUCAAUUCAA